ACAAGUUCACCCUCUGCCUCCCGCCCAUGAGAGGAAGCAGGAAAGAGGGUGAGGUGGGGGCCCCCAAACAUUCCACCUGGCCCAAGCCAUCUGCAUAACACACGUCACAGUUGUCCAUGGGACCUGUGCUGGGCUCUGACAGAUAAGGCCGGGAUUGCGUCUUCUUCCAUUUCAGAGAAGUUUAGACCAAGGCUCUGAGAAGUGAAAGGAGUUCCCCCAACUCACACAUCUGGUUUAGUCCCCUCCUGCUGCAGGUGUCUCCUUGCAUUCAGCCUUUGGUGGAGGCAGCGAGGCACGGGCCACCCCAUCCAUGGGAGCAGGCUGCCAGAAGGAAGCUUGAUUUCCCAACGGCUGGAAAAGGCCAUGGAGGCUGGGAGCUGGCUCCGCGCCUUG